UCCAGCCGCCGCGAACUCCUGAUGCCCGUCUCCAGCGCCUCCAAAGCUUCACUGUGCUUCCACAGGUGAGCCGCCAGUUGCUGGUGGGGGUGAGACACGAGCGCACACGCGUUCCACCGGGCCCGACUCUCAGAAGUGAACAUCACCCUGGCCUUUCGUGGCUUCCUUUCAUUCUACUUCGAGCUUUCCCAUUCGCUAUUGAUUUCAUUAUUUCCGUUAGGCUCUCGGGAUGAAGAAAAAACCUCUAGGGAAGCAUUAUGCGUUUGAAUUGGCAUAGGAGACGUAUAUGCCAUAUUAGAGGCUCCUGAGGCUUCUCCUUGACUGGUCUGGGAGCUUCCUUAUGAAAAGCCAGUUUUAGCAAAAAUCCUACUAAGCCUAACUGGAACCCCCGGCCCUUGACGUCUGGCCACCCUUGACAUUGGGUUCCUCAUCUCUUACCAUCCCCAGGUGACGUGCGAUCACCUUGUCUUCAGCAAAGAAUCCUGUCUGGUUGGUUCAGCCAGAACCCUAUUUAUCCCCGAUGUUUCCUCUUUGUACCUUCCCAUCCUCUGACCCCCACCCUGCCCCUUGGCUAGAAGUCCCCGCUUGCCCACGCUGUAUUCAGAGUUGAGCCCAGUCUCUCUCCCCCACAGCAGUGGACCCUACCCAGUCCCAAUGGUCCUGAAUAAAGUCUGCUUUACUAUAUUUAACACAUGCUGUUGAAUAUUCCCUUCUUGUAAUAGCUGGUGGAGACUGACGAGGGUAAGAGGAUAGAGGGUUUGAGAAUAGAGCAUUAAAGGAGGAAUUAAGUCCUUACAGGAGGUGGGGAAUCGCAAGGUAAGGGUAGAUUCCCUUACCUUACAGGUAAGGGUAACAAGAUGGCACAAGAACAUCCAGGACAAGAGAACAGCAGUUGUCCUCAAGACUUCCUUCCCGGGAGUGGGCUUGCCGUCCAUGUGCUGCCCACCCCACAUCUACAUUUCCACGCUCCCCAAAGGCUCCACAAAGAGCCUGAAACGUUGUGAGUCCAAGUGGAAACCCAACACCGCCUGCCUCAAGUGGGGCCGCCCCAUGAUUCUGUAACCUCAGGAUGGAUGCCGCCACCAGCCGGUUAUCCAGGAUGGAAAAACCAGGAAAACAUUCCGGAUUCCAUUUUUUUUUUUGAAUCCUUCACCAAGUCCUUCUGAUUCUAUCUCCUAAAAACGUCAAGGCUGUUACCAUCUUUCUCUGCACAGUCACUGCCCUGGUUCUGGCUUUGUGUCCACCCUGCCCCCCCCCCGCCCCAACCUACUGUGGUGGUGUCUCCAUCGGGACCUCUGCCUCCACGCCUCACCCCUCCACGCCUCCAGAGUCCUCAGCAGGGCACAUGGGGCCCUUAGGAUAUAACCCUCCCCCCCUCCACUGUGCUUCUUGCCACCUCACCCCAGGUGAGCAACCUGAACAACCUACACUUGACUGCCCGGCUCAUGCCCAGAGCCUCUGCACGUGACACGCCCCUUAGGAGCCCUGCCCGGCCUCAGCAACCCCCUCAACACCCACCCGCCUCCACCAGUUAGGGACUCCUCUAUCUUCUGUACUUCUGCCGUAUGUGUCCAUCUCAGCCCUUGUCACGUGGUGUCCCCUGCUGGGUUUAGUGACUACUUUUAUUUUGAAAUACAGAUUCAUAGGAGCUUACACAGGAAUGUACAGGGAGGUCCUGCACCCAGCCUCCCCCAGGGCUAACAUCUCGUGUAACUAUAGCACAACACCAACACCAGGAAAUUAACACUGGUAUGAUCCGGAGUUUACUCAGACUCUACCAGUUAAAUGUGCCCCCGUGCGUGUGUGUACACGUGCAGCUCCAGGCCGUGUUACCACAUGCGCUGUUCCCGAGUUGACCUUAAGAGUGCACAUCGGUCAUGCUCCUGCAUCCUCGGGGCCUGAUACACACAUAGGCACUCAGUAAAUGCCUGCUGCCUGCAUGCCUUAAUGAGCAAAUGAAGGGUGCCUGGCUGGCUCAGUUGGCAGCAUGUGACCCUUGAUCUUGGGGUUGUGAGCUGGAGCCCCGCAUUGGGAGUAGAGGUCACUUCAAAACAAAACAAAACAAAACAAAACAAAAAACAACCAUGCAUGCACCCAGCCAAGGCAGGAGUCUUGCAAGAAACUUGAGUGCCUGGAGAGGUGAGUUCAUGGUCACUGGAGCACAGAGAAGCAUGCGAAGGACACGGGGAAGGGCCUGGAAAGAUCAUCCAGGGCUAGAACACGAAGGCCUUUGUCAGGUUUGGGUUUGGACUGUAUUCUCCCAGCCAGAGAGACACAGGAGGGUCGUGAGCCUCGGCAGUCUGGCGGUACCAUCCGUGCUGACUGGGAGGACGGCUCGCCGGGAGGCAGGGCAACACCAGGAAGCUGGUCGGGUCCUCCAGCAGACAGCCAGCUGAGAGCCAGAAGGAGUAAGGUGGGAGAAGUUGAAGGAGGAGAGGGGGCAGGAGGUGGGCACCUGAGGAGACAGACGGGUCGAGUGAAGGUCCCAGCCUGGGUGAAAGAUGGAUCUUUGGGAGGGUUUUGAAGUGCCUUUGUGCAUCUGAGCAGAUGUCUCCAGUUGGAAGUUUGCGGCAUAAGCAAGAGAUCCUAAUUUGGGUAUCUGACUUUCAGGCAGGGAUUGGAGCCCCUGGCCCAGCUCCCUCGGUCAUGGUCAUGAGUGGAGGGUCUGGGAACCGCCCCAGUCUGGCUGAGCCCCUGCCAAUGCAGGUAAAAACACAGGGGUCUGUGGGGGUGGGGGACAGGAAGGACACUGCAAGCUGUAGAUCACUGUAAGCCUUUUGGACAAGAGUGCUAUCCUGGGCUUCUGCAUCUCUCGAACCUUCUGCUGGCUCUCCUUCAUACUUCAUAAAAAUUCUUUAAAGCCAGCUAUAACCACCACAAGAAAAAGCAACCCAAACAAAUGCUAAAAACGGCAGCCAGUGGCUCUCUGAGCCUCUCCACCUAUUUUUAUUUUGCUUGCACGGAGCUCCAUGCUAUAAAUAUGCUCAUGGCAUCCGCACAGGAACUCAAAUGCCAGCACAGCCGACAAAGCUGACUAACCACAAAAAUGCCAACUCACCAGACUGAGGAGAAAGAGCUGCUCUGAGCGAAAAUCAGUCAUUGCGGAAGAUGAGGCACAAAAGGAUUUGAAACCACAAUAAAAAUGAGCCUUAACCAGUUAUGAAGCAGUUGACAAGCAAACAAUGAGGCAUUCAACCAAGCCAACACCAUUCCCGAGCUCCAGUCUAGACUAAGUGGCACAGAAACGACUGACCAAGCGCUAAGGCAGGUGCAUGAGGAACUGAGAUGCCAGGUGGACUGUGCUGGAGUAAAGCCUCUCAGGAUUCCUGACACACGGUUGUAACCCAGACUUCCUGCUCACAACCAAACUCGUCGCUGCAGGGACCCUGGGAGGCAGUGGGAUACAUCACACAAGAAUGUUCCACAAGAAAAGGCACGGCAGCUGAUUUUGCUCUAAAAGAAGGAAAACAGAUUUCACAGACUCUAGUAAAUGUCCUACGGUGAAGACAGGAGACCUCCCCACGGGACUGGUCUGGUAAGGAUUAGGCAAUUGUGAACAACGCUUGGGGGACAGUCAUUAUUACUCCAUAAGAUAACUGCAGGCGUGGUCUGCAGUCAGCCUUAUCUUGGGAAAUGACAUAGAAAUCAGAUCCCUUCCUUAUGUACACGUGGGAAACAGCCUACAGAUGUCUACUUCGGGUGGGGGGAGGUGUGGAGGGGCCGACGCGCACAGAGGACAGGAGGGCAGACGUGGAUGUGUGUGUGCACGCCCACAUGGAACGUGUGCUCAUGCCAGGUUCGAAGGCCUGCAUCCACCACAAGGGGAGAGGACGCUGGGAGAAACUGCCUGUCGUUGAGGUACGUUUCUGGGGAGUGGAGGGAGGUGCAGUGUCCCUGCCCGCCCUGCGUACAGGACGCACUCAGGUGUGUGAUGAGCUCAGGACACAGGCUGUCCAACCUCAGGGCUCCUUUCUAGCAUUUCCCAACACGGUCCCAAAUUCAAACCAGGCCAGAGAAGCAAGGAGCUUAACCACCGCAGGCCUCCACGUCAGGGGAAAACCACGGCAUCCGGCUGAUUGGCAUGAUCGCCAACCGCAUCCCCUUCUGGGUCACUUAAAAAGGUAAUGAGUCUGUUUUCACCUCCCAUGGCUUUAAUCGGGGGCCCCGUCGACCUCACGGAGCAGCUGGGCGAUAUGGGGAAACAAUAAUGGGAAAUGAAAGAGGCUCCAAGAAUGAGGAACAUGGUAGAAAGCGGAAUGUGUGCACCGUGCGGUCUGCAUUCCCAGGAAAAGGCACCUCGAAAAGGCACCGCUCGAGCAUGAGUGGGGGAGGAGCAGAGAGAGAGGGAGACACAGAAUCCGAAGCAGCUCCAGGCUCUGAGCUGUCAGCACAGAGCCUGAUGUGGGGCUCGAACUCACAAACGGUGAGAUCAAGACGGGCUGAAGUCGGCUGCUCAACCGACUUGAGCCACCCAGGCGCCCCCAUCCCCACAUUUCAUCUUGCUCAACUCUGGACAGCCGAACACUAGCUGUUUCCUCAACCCCAGGCGUUGGCAACCUCCGUUUUAUUUUCUCUCUCUCUGAAUCUGAUUGCCCUGAGUAGCUCAUGAGUGGAAUUGUACACUGUUUGGGUUUUUAUUUCAUUUAGCAUGUCUUUGAGGUGCAUCUGUGUUGUAGCAUGUAUCAGAAUAUCCUUCCUUUUUAAAGUUUAUUUAGUGUGAGGGAGAGAGAGAGAGAGAAAGUGCGGGGGAGUGAGAAGAUCCCAAGCAGGCUCUGUGCUGUCAGUUUGGAGCCCGGCACGGGGCUUGAACUCACAAACCUCAAGAUCAUGACCUGAGCCGAAACAGAGUCAGAUGCUUACCCGACUAAACCACUCAGGCACCCCUAGCAUCCCCUUCCUUUUUAAGGAUAUUAUUCCAUUGUACGAUGUACCACUUUUUGUUUAUCCAUUAAUGAUUCACGCAUCAGAGGGCACGGGGUUCCUUCCAAACCAAACCUUUUGGCUCCCGUGAAUAACGAGGCUAUGAGCGUGGGUGUAGAAGUAUCUGUCUGGGUCCGUUUCUCUCAAUUCUUCUGAGCAUACAGCUAGGAUUGGACACUGUUGGGUGCCAUGGGAAAUCUAGAUUUAAUUUUUUGAGGAAUUCCUAUGAUUUUAAGGAUGACCAGCUUCAAAGAGUGGGUAGGAUGAAAAGAUUUAUUACUCAUUUUUUUGUUUUAGGAUUGCUCACCGUGAAGCUACUAUGAAGAUGCGUACUCCGGGGGAGGGCUGCAAAUCACGGUCUCACCCACACGGUCACCCCCCACUCCUCUUCAGCCCCUGGAGCAUCCUGGCAGGACAACACCGCUCCACGGGGGAAAUCCCUGAUCACAGUCCUCCUGAGAGAGGAGCUUCCUUUCUGCUCCGGACGGACAGCCUCCUGUCUCUCAACCCCCUAGGGUCCGAGCCUGCUCCUGCCCCCACACCCCAGGGACCCUGCCUCAAUCUCCUCUGCACGUCGUCCCGCCACUCUUCAGACAUGCUCUCCUCGGGGACGCUCCACCCCUGCUCACCCCUCGUGGCUUCUUCCAUUUCCUCUGCUGGCUCUCGCUCUGCCAUGAGCUACACGUUUAUGGAAAGUUGACAAUAAGGUGUAUUUGGCACGAUUCUGUCCCUGGCUCUCCUCUGCCUCACUGUUGUUUCUUACAGGACAGGAUUCUCCUUGUGGGUAACUCCCAUAUCUACAUCACUGCACCGGAUUUCUUUCCCAAGCCUGAGACCUGCGUUUCCAACUGCCGGAAGGACUUCAUUACUGACCCCUCAAAGCUGAUGUGACCCAGAGCAAACUCAGCUUCCCUCCAUUAUAUGUGCUUCUUCCUUUCUUCUUACGGCUUCCUAAUUUUGUGAGCGUCCUCCCAGGUAACCAGGAUCAAAGUUCUCGGGGCUUCCCCCUGGCCUUCUCCUUGGUCCCGUGGGCCCGACUUGUCUGCUCGGCGACAUCUCAAUCUCCGGUCUCCCCACCCCUCCCGGCUAGACUUCUGCACCCCUUCCAAGUGAAUCUGCUGCCAAGCUUCUAAUAAAUGCAGCAGACCCUUCUUGAGAACUGUGUGUGCCCACAGCCGAUCCCACAUGCCUCUCUGCAGGCCUCUUGCCCAGACCCCAGCUCCCUGCAGGCUGAUGUUGCACGGGGCACAGUCUACCGAGGUGCAUCGCGCUAGAGAAUCCAGGUCUGGGGAACGAGUUGGCUGGUGUUCACUCUGCCUGCCAGGCCUUUCGGGGCUGGAAUUUGGGACACAGCUCCGAAAGCCAAAGGUUGUAAGAGGCUUUCUCUGAGUGCAUUUGAACAGCUGGGCAAAAUAUCCUGGCUUUCAAAAAGAAAGGCUUUCUUCCUGUUUUCAGAAGUCACCAAACCUGUUUUCUGGUUUUUGAAGAAACAGGGUCACCUGGGCUUUGGCCAGGCUGAAACAGCCCAUCCCCUCAUCGGGUGGGUUUACUCAGGAGGACGCAACAUUUGGAUGCGGGCAGGUGUGUUUACUGAGCAGGGGUUCAAGCCUCCUCAUUCAGGGAAAUUCCUGGUAACUUUUCUGCCUUAAGACUUCCCACGG